rnacentral:rRNA from 1 species
AGAGUCUGACGGAGCAACGCCGCGUGAACGAAGAAGGCCUUCGGGUCGUAAAGUUCUGUUGUUAGGGAAGAACAAGUACCAGAGUAACUGCUGGUACCUUGACGGUACCUAACCAGAAAGCCACGGCUAACUACGUGCCAGCAGCCGCGGUAAU